AACGACCGGCUGGACAUCACUGUGUCCGGCCAACAAGUGGAGGCUCCGAUCUCCCACCUGACCGUCCCCCGGGACGGCGGGUCACCCGGGUCAGGCGGCCGCCAUCGUUCCGUACGGACGAUGGAGUCGCCCGAAAGUGCGCCCCGCGGCAUCACCGCGGCGGUGCUCCGGCAGUCUUCGGAGUCCCGCCUGUGAUCGUCCGGGGCAAUUUUU
rnacentral:ncRNA from 1 species